rnacentral:rRNA from 1 species
AACGAACGCUGGCGGCAGGCCUAACACAUGCAAGUCGAGCGAAGCCUUCGGGCUUAGCGGCGGACGGGUGAGUAACGCGUGGGAACGUGCCCUUUGGUACGGAAUAGCCCCGGGAAACUGGGAGUAAUACCGUAUGUGGUCGAGAGACGAAAGAUUUAUCGCCAAAGGAUCGGCCCGCGUUGGAUUAGGUAGUUGGGGGGGUAAUGGCCUACCAAGCCGACGAUCCAUAGCUGGUUUGAGAGGAUGAUCAGCCACACUGGGACUGAGACACGGCCCAGACUCCUACGGGCGGCAGCAGUGGGGAAUCUUAGACAAUGGGGGAAACCCUGAUCUAGCCAUGCCGCGUGAUCGAUGAAGGCCUUAGGGUUGUAAAGAUCUUUCAGUGGGGAAGAUAAUGACUGUACCCACAGAAGAAGCCCCGGCUAACUCCGUGCCAGCCGCCGCCGUAAAAC